GAUGAAGAACGCAGCGAAAUGCGAUAAGUAAUGUGAAUUGCAGAAUUCAGUGAAUCAUCGAAUCUUUGAACGCACCUUGCACCCUUUGGCAUUCCGAAGGGUAUGCUCGUUUGAGUGUCAUUGUACUCUCACUCUCCCGAUGCUUUUGGAUCGGGAGUGGUGGACUUGGGUGUUGCUGCUUUGCUGUGGCUCGCCUCAAAUGGAGUAGUGCAACUCUUGGUUGGACAUAGUACGGCGUGAUAAGUGUCUUCGCCGGCGCCUCAUUAUAGAGGGUGGCCGAUCGGGAGCUCUGUGCUUCAAACCGUCUUCGGACAACAUCUGACAACUUGACCUCAAAUCGAGUAGGACUACCCGCUGAACUUAAGCAUACAAUAAGCGGAGGA
rnacentral:misc_RNA from 1 species